rnacentral:tRNA from 1 species
GUCCGCGACGUCCCAAUGGGAGGGACACCGGUCCGUAAAACCGGAGCGUUCAACGCAUUGGAGGUUCGAAUCCUUCCGCGGGCA